GAUUCUGGCUACAGAACGAACGCUGGCGGCGCGUCUUAAGCAUGCAAGUCGAACGGCAUGAGGAAUGCUUGCAUUCCUCAGAGAGUGGCGGACUGGUGAGUAACACGUGGGUGACCUACCCUGAGAUGGGGAUAGCCGUUAGAAAUAGCGGAUAAUACCGAAUACGCUCUACGGACUCUGGUUUGUAGAGGAAACAGGCUACGGCCUGGCUCGAGGAUGGGCCCGCGUCCCAUUAGCUAGUUGGUGAGGUAAGAGCCCACCAAGGCGACGAUGGGUAUCCGGCCUGAGAGGGUGUACGGACACAUUGGGACUGAGAUACGGCCCAAACUCCUACGGGAGGCAGCAGCUAAGAAUAUUCCGCAAUGGACGAAAGUCUGACGGAGCGACGCCGCGUGGAUGACGAAGGCCGAAAGGUUGUAAAAUCCUUUUGCUGAUGAAGAAUAAGCGUGGUAGGGAAUGACCGCGUGAUGACAUUAGUCAGUGAAUAAGCCCCGGCUAACUACGUGCCAGCCGCCGC
rnacentral:rRNA from 1 species